UACCAGCUCUCCGAGUGGUAGGGAUGAUUAUUGGGCUUAAAGCGUCCGUAGCCGGCUUAGCAAGUCUCCUGUUAAACUCAGCGACCUAAUCGUUGAUCCGCGGGUGAUACUACUAGGCUAGGAGGCGGGAGAGGUCGACGGUACUUCCGGGGUAGGGGUGAAAUCCUAUAAUCCCGGGAGGACCACCAGUGGCGGAGGCCGUCGACUAGAACGCGCUCGACGGUGAGGGACGAAAGCUGGGGGAGCGAACCGGAUUAGAUACCCGGGUAGUCCCAGCUGUAAACGAUGCGGGCUAGGUGUUGGGGUGGCUACGUGCCACUUCAGUGCCGCAGGGAAGCCAUUAAGCCCGCCGCCUGGGGAGUACGGCCGCAAGGCUGAAACUUAAAGGAAUUGGCGGGGGAGCACCACAAGGCGUGAAGCUUGCGGUUC
rnacentral:rRNA from 1 species